CUUAGUGAAGAUUUGAAUACAUCAUCGUUUAUCCUGGUUCCAAUAUGUCUAAGACGAACUUUCAAAAAUAGAUCUAUAAUUAGAUUAAUUAAUUGCUCUCUAUGAUUAUUGAAUACACAUUGAUUAGAUAUAUGGUCUUCAAUAUUUUGAAAAACAUCCAUGUAAGCUUCAGCACAUUUACAUAUAAGUAUGACAUCAUUACUUGGAUUAAUUAAAUUACAACCAUCCCAUUGUUUAAACUGCAAAAAUUUUAUUAUAUAGUUUGGAUUUUUUUGAAUUAAUAUGUUUUUACAAAACAAACAAUCAAUUCGCUGUUUUACUUUUUUUACAAUAAAGCCAGCUAUAUACUCAACGACAUCUUCUACAUAAUUACUGAGACUUACUGAACUUUCGAUGUAAUCAUGAUCAGUUAAUUCUUUACUUGAACCUUGGGUUAUGUUAUCCGUAGCAUUGAACUCCAGUGGUAAAAUAGUGGUAGCAUCUAGAAUACCACAGUUACCAAAACAUGAUGCAGUUAUUUGGUUAUUUACAAGUAAACGUUUAUAAGCAUGUUCAAAUUGAAAACAACUUGGAUUGUUGUUAAAUCCACUUCUUCCCCUAGCUGCACUGAAAAAAGUUUCUAGAUGGUCCUGCAAAUAUUUAUAAGUAAGCAUAUAACCAUGGUUUAAUAUUUGUUUAUCAUCUAAAGUUCUAUAAAUUUGUAUGCAGUUUUCCAAAUCUAAUAUCAAGCCAACAAAACCUGUAUUUCUAGAAUGAUUUACUAUAUUAAUUUCCUUGGAUAGUGCACAACCUUGCUUUUUAGGGAUUUCUUUAAGUUUCAAACUCAUUACGUAUGAUUUGAAUUGUUCUGUGAACUGUCCAUAUUUUUCUAGUGUUUCUAAACACAAAGGUUUACCAUAAGGAGCUUUGCUAAAUUUAGUUCGACUAUUUAAUAUAUCAAAAGCUCUGUUGAAGUAUUGACAAAAUUCAGCUGUGGCAAGAGCAUUAUUAUAUUCUGGAUUAGUGUUAUGGAGGUAUUUCAAAGCUGAACUUACACUUUCACUUAAUACUUGCACUGCUAACUUAACCCUCAUUUUUUCAUUCUGGUAAUGUAUAUGUCUAUUUGUCAAUUUUGUAGCUAAAUGCAAACCUUGAUCCUUUUGUUUUUCAUGAAGCAUUCUUAUAAAAUUCCAAUCUAUACAUUCUCCUUUACCAUUAUAUAUUUUUUGUUUUUCUCCAAAACAGUUGCGAACUAAUUUCAUCAUGUGUGCUGCAUCCCAAAUUAAAUAAAUUGGUUGUUGUGUAAUAGGGUGGUCAAUAUAAGCCUUCAUGUUUUUUGGAGAAAAAUUGGCUCCUAAUUUAGUGCACAUUGUUUUAUUUACAUUUGUUCCGUCAUACGUAAUAGAAUGUAAAUGAGAAUUCGUUUCAUGUAAUAAAAUAAUGCAUUUUGUCAACAAA